AAUGAACGUUGGCGGCGUGGAUUAGGCAUGCAAGUCGCGCGGACCAGCAAUGGUUAGCGGCGAAAGGGAGAGUAACGCGUGGGUUAUCUGCCUCUUGGGCCAGGAUAGCUGCGGGAAACUGCAGGUAAUACUGGAUAAUGUCUUCGGACCAAAGGUGUGAUUCCGCCGGGAGAUGAGCCCGCGCCCUAUUAGCUAGUUGGUGAGGUAAUGGCUCACCAAGGCUUAGAUGGGUAGGGGGUGUGAGAGCACGACCCCCCUCACUGGGACUGAGACACUGCCCAGACACCUACGGGUGGCUGCAGUCGAGGAUCUUCGGCAAUGGGCGAAAGCCUGACCGAGCGACGCCGCGUGUGGGAUGAAGGCCUUCGGGUUGUAAACCACUGUCGUAGAGGAGGAAAUUCUGGGGGGUUCUCCCCUCAGUUUGACCUAUUCUAGGAGGAAGUCAGGGCUAAGUUCGUGCCAGCAGCCGCCGUAA
rnacentral:rRNA from 1 species